AGCGAACGCUGGCGGCAGGCUUAACACAUGCAAGUCGAACGCCCCGCAAGGGGAGUGGCAGACGGGUGAGGAACACGUGGGAACGUACCCUUCGGUUCGGAAUAACUCAGGGAAACUUGUGCUAAUACCGGAUACGUCCGAAAGGAGAAAGAUUUAUCGCCGAAGGAUCGGCCCGCGUCUGAUAGCUUGUUGGUGAGGUAACGGCUCACCAAGGCGACGAUCAGUAGCUGGUCUGAGAGGAUGAUCAGCCACACUGGGACUGAGACACGGCCCAGACUCCUACGGGAGGCAGCAGUGGGGAAUAUUGGACAAUGGGGGCAACCCUGAUCCAGCCAUGCCGCGUGAGUGAUGAAGGCCUUAGGGUUGUAAAGCUCUUUGGUCCGGGAAGAUAAUGACGGUACCGGAAGAAUAAGCACCGGCUAACUACGUGCCAGCCGCCGCCGUAA
rnacentral:rRNA from 1 species